CUAUUUCUACACAGACAAAAUGCCAAGUGUCAAACCCAAGAAAAAGAAAAUCAAGAAGGAGAUUAGUGAAGUUGAGGAACUCAAGCAGGAUCCGAGCCAGGUUUAGAAACGGAGGGUCUGGAGAGCCACAGAGAGCCGCUGACUCCUGAGCCUCAGGACAAUCCACCACAGAAGAAGAAGAAGAAAAGAUAUAUAUGAGAUAUAUACAUGCCGCUUUCAGGUGACUGAUCGUUUGGAUUUAUCCUGUGACCAUAUGGGGGAGCACAAGGGGGUCUGACCCAUGUGGAAUACACAAGAUGUCGCACAUGA